AUAUAUAUAUAUAUAUAUAUAUAUAUAUAUAUACAGUGAACCCUCGCUAUAUCUUGGUUCACCUUUCAUGGUCUCGCUGCUUCGCGGAUUUGCAUCGUGCAUUGUGUUCUGCAUUCUGAUUGGCUAAACAGUCUCUCCGCUUCUUCUCUACCUGUGUGUCAACAGCGUUGCGGUUUAAAAUGUACACUAUGUAAAACAGCUUGCCAAAUUUAACAUAAUC